UACGUAGGAGACGAGCGUUGUCCGGAGUUACUGGGCGUAAAGGGUGCGCAGGCGGCCUGGCGCGUCGCGAGUGAAAUCUCCUGGCUCAACUGGGAGGGUGGUCGCGAGACGGCUGGGCUUGAGGCUCGGUGAGGGGCGUGGAAUUCCGGGUGGAGCGGUGAAAUGCGUAGAGAUCCGGAGGAACACCGACGGCGUAAGCAGCGCCCUAGACGAGACCUGACGCUCAGGCACGAAAGCGCGGGGAGCGAACAGG
rnacentral:rRNA from 1 species